UGCUUUUGUUAGGAGGUACUCAAAGC
rnacentral:piRNA from 1 species